rnacentral:rRNA from 1 species
GACGAACGCUGGCGGCGUGCUUAACACAUGCAAGUCGAACGAUGAAGCCUAGCUUGCUAGGUGGAUUAGUGGCGAACGGGUGAGUAAUACGUGAGUGACCUACCUUUGACUCUGGGAUAAGCCUGGGAAACUGGGUCUAAUACCGGAUAUGACCAAUCUCCGCAUGGGGUGUUGGUGGAAAGCGUUAUGGAGUGGUUUUAGAUGGGCUCACGGCCUAUCAGCUUGUUGGUGAGGUAAUGGCUUACCAAGGCGACGACGGGUAGCCGGCCUGAGAGGGUGACCGGCCACACUGGGACUGAGACACGGCCCAGACUCCUACGGGAGGCAGCAGUGGGGAAUAUUGCACAAUGGGCGCAAGCCUGAUGCAGCGACGCCGCGUGAGGGAUGACGGCCUUCGGGUUGUAAACCUCUGUUAGCAUCGAAGAAGCGAAAGUGACGGUAGGUGCAGAGAAAGCGCCGGCUAACUACGUG